UGUCGAAAAACGUCAUAGUAUAGUUUGUCGAAAAAAGGAAGAUCCUAAGGCCCUCUGGAGAAUGUGGGCAUCGAUCCCACUACCUCUUACAUGCUAAGCAAGCACUCUACUAUUUGAGCUAAUUCCCCUAUAGGUAACAUGAAUUAAAAGUCAUAAAAAUUCAUAGCAUAGUUUGU